rnacentral:rRNA from 1 species
AACGAACGCUGGCGGCAUGCCUAACACAUGCAAGUCGAACGAGACCUUCGGGUCUCGUGGCGCACGGGUGCGUAACGCGUGGGAACCUGCCCUUAGGUUCGGAAUAACUCCCCGAAAGGGGUGCUAAUACCGGAUAGUGUCUUCGGACCAAAGAUUUAUCGCCCUUGGAUGGGCCCGCAUUGGAUUAGCUAGUUGGUAGGGUAAAAGCCUACUAAGGCGACGAUCCAUAGCUGGUCUGAGAGGAUGAUCAGCCACACUGGGACUGAGACACGGCCCAGACUCCUACGGGAGGCAGCAAUGGGGAAUAUUGGAAAAUGGGGGGAAGCCUGAACCAGCAAGGCCGCGUGAGUGAUGAAGGCCUUGAGGUUGUAAAGCUCUUUUAUCCGGGAUGAUAAUGACAGUACCGGGAGAAUAAGCUCCGGCUAACUCCGUG